rnacentral:lncRNA from 1 species
UCAUUUAAGCCUAUUAUCUCAUUCUUUGUUUAAACUCAUUACAAGCUUGAAAGUGAAAAAUAAUGUUAUCACACAUUCAUAGGGUUGAAAGAGUUUUGUUGGAGUUGUCUGAGGUUGAAUAUUUAUAGUUGUAAUAUUUGAUUCAAAAAAAAAUUGACAAAAGAAAAGAAAAAAAUUGAAAAAGAAAAAAAUUGAAAAAAAUUAAAUAAAAA